rnacentral:rRNA from 2 species
GGACUACUGGGGUUUCUAAUCCUGUUUGAUCCCCACGCUUUCGUGCCUCAGUGUCAAUAUUUGCGUAACGAGCUGCCUUCGCAAUCGAUGUUCUAUGUCAUAUCUAAGCAUUUCACCGCUACAUGACAUAUUCCGCUCAUCUCCACAACAUUCAAGACAGAUAGUAUCAAUGGCAGUUUUCGGGUUAAGCCCAAAGAUUUCACCACUGACUUACCUGCCCACCUACGCACCCUUUAAACCCAGUGAAUCCGGAUAACGCUUGCACCCUCCGUAUUACCGCGGCUGCUGGCAC